CACGUAGGGUGCGAGCGUUGUCCGGAAUUAUUGGGCGUAAAGAGCUCGUAGGCGGUGUGUCGCGUCGGCCGUGAAAACCUGCAGCUUAACUGUGGGCGUGCGGUCGAUACGGGCAUCACUGGAGUUCGGCAGGGGGAGACUGGAAUUCCUGGUGUAGCGGUGAAAUGCGCAGAUAUCAGGAAGAACACCAAUGGCGAAAGGCAGCUCUCUGGGGACGGUACUGACACUGGAGACGCGAAAAGCGUUGGG
rnacentral:rRNA from 1 species